CCUACGGGUGGCAGCAGUGAGGAAUAUUGGUCAAUGGGCUUACGCCUGAACCAGCCAAGUCGCGUGAGGGAAGACUGCCCUAUGGGUUGUAAACCUCUUUUGUCAGGGAGCAACGCCGGCCACGUGUAGCCGUUCUGAGAGUACUUGAAGACAAAGCUUCGGCUAACUCCGUGCCAGCAGCCGCGGUAAUACGGAGGAUGCGAGCGUUUUCCGGAUUUAUUGGGUUGAAAGGGUGCGUAGGCGGAAUGCCAAGUCAGCGGUAAAAUCGCGGGGCUCAACCUCGCUCAGCCGUUGAAACUGACGAUCUUGAGUGGGCGAGAAGUAUGCGGAAUGCGUGGUGUAGCGGUGAAAUGCAUAGAUAUCACGCAGAACUCCGAUUGCGAAGGCAGCAUACCGGCGCCCGACUGACGCUGAAGCACGAAAGCGUGGGUAUCGAACAGGAUUAGAUACCCGGGUAGUC
rnacentral:rRNA from 1 species